GCUUGUCUCAAAGAUUAAGCCAUGCAUGUCUAAGUAUAAACGACUUUAUACUGUGAAACUGCGAAUGGCUCAUUAUAUCAGUUAUAGUUUAUUUGAUGGUCCUUGCUACUUGGAUAACCGUAGUAAUUCUAGAGCUAAUACAUGCAUCAAGCCCCGACUUCUGGAAGGGGUGUAUUUAUUAGAUGGAAACCAAUGCGGGGCAACCCGGUGUUUGGUGAUUCAUAAUAACUUUCGGAUCGCAUUUGCGAUGCAUCAUUCAAGUUUCUGCCCUAUCAGCUUUGGAUGGUAGGGUAUUGGCCUACCAUGGCAUUAACGGGUAACGGAGGAUUUGGGUUCGAUUCCGGAGAGGGAGCCUGAGAAAUGGCUACCACAUCCAAGGAAGGCAGCAGG
rnacentral:rRNA from 1 species